rnacentral:rRNA from 1 species
GCCCUCCUACGGGACGCAGCAGUGAGGAAUAUUGGUCAAUGGGCGCAAGCCUGAACCAGCCAAGUCGCGUGAGGGAAGACGGCCCUACGGGUUGUAAACCUCUUUUGCCGGGGAGCAAGCCUGAGCACGUGUGCCCAGGCGGAGAGUACCCGGAGAAAAAGCAUCGGCUAACUCCGUGCCAGCAGCUGCGGUAAUACGGAGGAUGCGAGCGUUAUCCGGAUUUAUUGGGUUUAAAGGGUGCGCAGGUGGGCUGUUAAGCCGGCGGUAAAAAUUCAGGGCUCAACCCUGUCGAUCCGUCGGAACUG